GGCCUAAUGGCCCAAUGGCAAGGCGCUUGACUACGAUUCGUUCGAUAUCAAGAGAUUCCAGGUUGUAAGUAACACUCGAAAGCGCAACCCGUUCGAACACAGACACUAACUAUCAUCUAGCGACCCCUGGUUAGGUCA